rnacentral:sRNA from 1 species
CGGGGAUCCUGGGGAGCUGUGACUCAGACCUCUGGUUUCUGCGCCUCCUCACUCUCCAAACCCAACCUCGAGGUUCCCCCGGCGCUGCGCACCCUGGGAAGUCCCUUCUCACCAGGAGCUCUCACCCCAAUAUCAUUCUCUCCCUCCUCCUCCAACUCCUCCGAGCCCAGGUCCGACAUGGUCUCCCACCAGCCUGGAUCCCAGCCGCAGCGCCUCUAGCAGACUCUGCUGACCCUUCGGGAUUCGCGGCUAGCUAAGAUGUGUCCGCCAAGAUCUCUUCUCUUGUCUGUAAACAACUUCACUCUCAAGGAGGCAGCCCUGGCCUCUCAGCAGGUGCGGCCUACACUGUUGUCCCUCCGGGUUUUACAUCCUUCCCCGACCUCGACAUGAGUCCCAGCCCCCUCGGGCCUCUGACUCUCGGGUGUCCCGUACGAUCUCCGGUCCUCUCCUCUCGCUCCUGGCUCCCCUCCACGGUCACACACCCGCACAAUCACAGACGCACACGCAUGUACACGUGCAGGCUUGGAAAUCUGCUUUACCUGACGCACUCCGCCUGCCCAAGGCGCCUCACUGUCUCCCAUUUCGUCUGCCAUCAUCCCAGACUACAAAGCUGUGUUAUUUGUUGUUGCUGCAGGAGCUGGGGAGGAGUGACUGAAUAACCAUAGGAUUUGGUCUUGAUAGGAGAAUCCUAGAAGCCAAAUCCAGGCAGUGAAUAAGCUGCUGAUCUUUCAGAGCACACAUCCCCUAGAGAUUCUUCCCAAUGCUAAUAUGAAAGGUUACAACCAUAACCCAUCAUCAGGCCCAAAUAUAUUACUUACUGAAUAAAUACACAAGUUACAAGCAACACACGAGAUUCCAAAAUUAUGUCGUUUUUUAGUUGCAAAGAUAAAAAUGUUGUAAACACCAAAAUUUAACAGCUUUUCUUAUGGGGAAAAGUGGGGAGUUAGGGAUAACAGAUGAUUAUUAUUUUCUUCUCUACAUAUUGGCAGUUUCCCAGUCACUACAAUUAAGCAUGUCCUACUUUUAUAAUAAAAUGCCAAAAGCAUUUUAAAUGUUAGAAAUCAAGAAUGGUAACAUAAGUAUAUGCAAAUAAAUACUCGUUUUUUACAUUUAAAAUGCCAGAAAUUUAGCUUUCAAAUUUGUCCUAACAAUGACAGUAACCGAUGUUUACUAAGUUCUGACACUGUGUGCGGGCACUGUUUUAAGAAUUUUAUAUGAGUUAUCUUAUUAAAUACUCACUAUCAUUUCUCCGUUGAACAUCUAAGGAAAGGCAGUUAUAGGGGGGUAUAAACUAAAAAUAACCCCCUAAGCCCCACCACAGCCAACUGAAUGGACCCCCUCUUGGCCAAGGGGGCCCCAGAAACCUUAAAAACUGAGUUCUCAGCCAUGAUGGGAAGGGAGGUCGAACAUGCCUCACUAAUACCCUUUUGCAGUUUAGACACAACAACUAACAAGCAUUAAUGUUAAAAUAGAGAUCAUAAGACUGACAGAAUGGACGCUGUGGCAGUAAGAUACCAACUUAUAAACAGGACCUAAGGCCAUGCCAGGCAUGAGUUAAGUCAUGCAUCCCUACACUUAAAAGAAUAAACUAUAUUUUAACUACCUGGAG